GGGAGGUAUUCAUGUAAACUUCAACGAGAUUUACAUAUUAGUGUACAUAAUCAGUUGAUCAACUACCUCAUUAUAGUAUAUGUACCAAUCUGCUCAUAUUAGGAGAACAAAAUGUCAACAAACGUCAACAAAAUUGUUGACAUAGGAAACAAACAUUUGCAUAAUUCUGGUAACAAGAAGUCACCACAAUUUAAGCAACUGGAGGACGGAGAGAAUGAUCUUCUGAGGUAUCAACUGCAGCAGGAGGCACAAACUGCCACAUAGGGAUUCCAGGGUAGCCAAUAUAUGGCAUCAUUUUGCUUGCAAAGACUUGAUGUGGGGCUGAGAAAGGGGAAGGCAUUGCAGGAGGGUGUGGUAGAAAUCCAGGUUGAGUGUUCAUGGCCUUCAGAUGCUGCUCGAGUUUGUCUUUCUCUGCUUUUAGCUUUUGUUUCUCAUCUCGGAGUUCAUUUUUCUCAGCCUUCAAUUCAAUAACCUUCUCCUGCAAGUUGUUGUUCGACUCUUUCAGCUUCUGAGCUUCAUCUCUCAACUGCACCACCAUACGAACCGCAUCACCUAGGAUAACAGAUUUAUCCAUUUUUGGCUGCUUUCCUGGUUCCAGAAUAGAACUUAAUUCUUGAAACCUGUCAUUCAGCUUGUCCCUGCGCAUUUUCUCCCUAUGUGCUUUUGAAUCAGAUGCACAUGCUCCAGAUCUCACCCUCUUUUUGGAGCCGCAUUCCUUCAAACUAUCUGAGUUGCCAUAGGAAUCUUCUAAUCCAGAACUGAGAUUAUUUGGAAGGGAAAAAGCGUUGGAGGGCCAUUGAGCAUUGGGUUCAAGAGAAGGAAGGUCUUCCAUUAACCCUAAUUCUAUGAGCCAAUUUGAUCCGUCUUCCUCUGUUUCCGCCAUUUUCUCCGACGUGAGGAGUACCGGUGCCGGAAAAUUUCAGUUGAAGAUUGUAGGGUAUCCCAAUUCCAGUUGGGUGUUAGGUGGAAGAGGAAAAAAGGAGGAAAAUGAGGAGGAGAAGGAGAAGUGGAAGGAAAUUAUAUGUGUGGUGGAGGGAGAUUUUGUUUUUCACUGUGAAAAAG
rnacentral:misc_RNA from 1 species